GGGGGUGCACCGGUUUCGACUGGAACGAAGGUGUGUCCGGUUGCAGGUGGAGGGCCGGUCUCCUAAAAAGCGGCAAAAAAAAUAUAACUGCCAAUAAUAACGCAGAUUAUCAAUUAGCCGCAGCGUAAGCUAAGGCUAUCGGGCUUGCGGCACACCGCCUUGAGGGCCGCUCAGCUUGCAACAAAACCAGGGCUUGCCAACCACGGGAUCCGGCCUGUGGGCGGGAGACUUUCCGGAAUACGGUGUACGCGGGCCUUUGUUCCGCCUUGCCUCACCCGACAAUUAAGGAACAAAUAAACCUGUAGAAAGCCUGAUGUAUCCGUUUUAGGACGCGGGUUCAAUUCCCGCCACCUCCAA
rnacentral:tmRNA from 1 species